CGUGCCUAAUACAUGCAAGUCGAGCGAACGGACGAGAAGCUUGCUUCUCUGAUGUUAGCGGCGGACGGGUGAGUAACACGUGGAUAACCUACCUAUAAGACUGGGAUAACUUCGGGAAACCGGAGCUAAUACCGGAUAAUAUUUUGAACCGCAUGGUUCAAAAGUGAAAGACGGUCUUGCUGUCACUUAUAGAUGGAUCCGCGCUGCAUUAGCUAGUUGGUAAGGUAACGGCUUACCAAGGCAACGAUGCAUAGCCGACCUGAGAGGGUGAUCGGCCACACUGGAACUGAGACACGGUCCAGACUCCUACGGGAGGCAGCAGUAGGGAAUCUUCCGCAAUGGGCGAAAGCCUGACGGAGCAACGCCGCGUGAGUGAUGAAGGUCUUCGGAUCGUAAAACUCUGUUAUUAGGGAAGAACAUAUGUGUAAGUAACUGUGCACAUCUUGACGGUACCUAAUCAGAAAGCCACGGCUAACUACGUGCCAGCAGCCGCGGUAAUACGUAGGUGGCAAGCGUUAUCCGGAAUUAUUGGGCGUAAAGCGCGCGUAGGCGGUUUUUUAAGUCUGAUGUGAAAGCCCACGGCUCAACCGUGGAGGGUCAUUGGAAACUGGAAAACUUGAGUGCAGAAGAGGAAAGUGGAAUUCCAUGUGUAGCGGUGAAAUGCGCAGAGAUAUGGAGGAACACCAGUGGCGAAGGCGACUUUCUGGUCUGUAACUGACGCUGAUGUGCGAAAGCGUGGGGAUCAAACAGGAUUAGAUACCCUGGUAGUCCACGCCGUAAACGAUGAGUGCUAAGUGUUAGGGGGUUUCCGCCCCUUAGUGCUGCAGCUAACGCAUUAAGCACUCCGCCUGGGGAGUACGACCGCAAGGUUGAAACUCAAAGGAAUUGACGGGGACCCGCACAAGCGGUGGAGCAUGUGGUUUAAUUCGAAGCAACGCGAAGAACCUUACCAAAUCUUGACAUCCUUUGACAACUCUAGAGAUAGAGCUUUCCCCUUCGGGGGACAAAGUGACAGGUGGUGCAUGGUUGUCGUCAGCUCGUGUCGUGAGAUGUUGGGUUAAGUCCCGCAACGAGCGCAACCCUUAAGCUUAGUUGCCAUCAUUAAGUUGGGCACUCUAAGUUGACUGCCGGUGACAAACCGGAGGAAGGUGGGGAUGACGUCAAAUCAUCAUGCCCCUUAUGAUUUGGGCUACACACGUGCUACAAUGGACA
rnacentral:rRNA from 1 species